UUAGUUUGAUCCUGGCUCAGAACGAACGCUGGCGGCAGGCUUAACACAUGCAAGUCGGAGGAGAAGCAGGGCUUCGGCCCUGUGGAAACUGGCGCACGGGUGAGUAACGCGUGGGAAUCUACCCUGGGGUGGGGAAUAACCGCUGGAAACGGCGGCUAAUACCGCAUACGCCUUGAGAGGGAAAGCUUUAUGCGCCCUGGGAUGAGCCCGCGUCGGAUUAGCUUGUUGGUGAGGUAACGGCUCACCAAGGCUUCGAUCCGUAGCUGGUCUGAGAGGAUGAUCAGCCACACUGGGACUGAGACACGGCCCAGACUCCUACGGGAGGCAGCAGUGGGGAAUAUUGGACAAUGGGGGAAACCCUGAUCCAGCCAUGCCGCGUGCGUGAAGAAGGCCUUAGGGUUGUAAAGCGCUUUCGGCGGGGAAGAUGAUGACGGUACCCGCAGAAGAAGCCCCGGCUAACUCCGUGCCAGCAGCCGCGGUAAUACGGAGGGGGCAAGCGUUGUUCGGAAUUACUGGGCGUAAAGGGCGCGUAGGCGGACGAUCAAGUUAGAGGUGAAAGCCCUGGGCUCAACCUGGGAACUGCCUUUGAAACUGAUAGUCUAGAGUCCGAGAGAGGAUGGCGGAAUUCCCAGUGUAGAGGUGAAAUUCGUAGAUAUUGGGAAGAACACCAGUGGCGAACGCGGCCAUCCUGGCUCGGUA
rnacentral:rRNA from 1 species